GUGGCUCAGUGGUAGAGUGCUUGUCUUGAAUGCAAGCGGCCCUGAGUUCAAUUCCUCAGC
rnacentral:tRNA from 1 species